rnacentral:rRNA from 1 species
GUGAGGAAUAUUGCGCAAUGGAGGCAACUCUGACGCAGCCAUGCCGCGUGCAGGAAGAAGGCGCUACGCGUUGUAAACUGCUUUUAACCGGGAAGAAACCCCAGGACGUGUCCUGGGUUGACGGUACCGGAGGAAUAAGCACCGGCUAACUUCGUGCCAGCAGCCGCGGUAAUACGAAGGGUGCAAGCGUUAUCCGGAUUCAUUGGGUUUAAAGGGUGCGUAGGCGGAGCGUUAAGUCAGUGGUGAAAUCCUGCAGCUUAACUGUAGACUUGCCAUUGAUACUGGCGCUCUUGAGUGCGCUUGAAGUGGGCGGAAUGUGCCGUGUAGCGGUGAAAUGCUUAGAUAUGGCACAGAACACCAAUUGCGAAGGCAGCUCACUAAGGCGAUACUGACGCUGAGGCACGAAAGCGUGGGGAGCAAACAGGAUUAGAAACCCUGGUAGUCC